CACAGCAGUGUUUGCCUUGCAAGCAGCCGAUCCAGGACCAAAGGUGGUUGGUUCGAAUCCCAGUGUCCCAUAUGGUCCCCCGUACCUGCCAGGAGCUAUUUCUGAGCAGACAGCCAGGAGUAACCC